rnacentral:rRNA from 1 species
CAAACGGGUGCGGAACACGUACGCAACCUUCCCAGAACAGGUGAAUAGCCCUCCGAAAGGAGGAUUAAUACACCGUAAUAUAUAGUUGUGGCAUCACGGUUAUAUUAAAGGUCGCAAGAUCGGUUUUGGAUGGGCGUGCGCCUGAUUAGGUAGUUGGCGGGGUAACGGCCCACCAAGCCUUCGAUCAGUAACUGGUGUGAGAGCACGACCAGUCACACGGGCACUGAGACACGGGCCCG